rnacentral:rRNA from 1 species
UGGCGGCGAUAGCGCGGUGGUGCCACCUGACCCCAUGCCGAACUCAGAAGUGAAACGCCGUAGCGCCGAUGGUAGUGUGGGGUCUCCCCAUGCGAGAGUAGGGAACUGCCAGGCU